GAGGAAUAUUGGCCAAUGGGCGAGAGCCUGAACCAGCCAAGUAGCGUGCAGGACGACGGCCCUAUGGGUUGUAAACUGCUUUUGUAUGGGGAUAAAGUCAAUCACGUGUGAUUGUUUGCAGGUACCAUACGAAUAAGGACCGGCUAAUUCCGUGCCAGCAGCCGCGGUAAUACGGAAGGUCCGGGCGUUAUCCGGAUUUAUUGGGUUUAAAGGGGGCGUAGGCUGGAGAUUAAGUGUGUUGUGAAAUGUAGACGCUCAACGUCUGACUUGCAGCGCAUACUGGUUUCCUUGAGUACGCACAACGUUGGCGGAAUUCGUCGUGUAGCGGUGAAAUGCUUAGAUAUGACGAAGAACUCCGAUUGCGAAGGCAGCUGACGGGAGCGCAACUGACGCUGAAGCUCGAAGGUGCGGGUAUCGAACAGGAUUAGAUACCCUGGUAGUCCGCACAGUAAACGAUGGAUGCCCGCUGUUGGUACCUGGUAUCAGCGGCUAAGCGAAAGCAUUAAGCAUCCCACCUGGGGAGUACGCCGGCAACGGUG
rnacentral:rRNA from 1 species